AGUAUAAUGUCUGACUAAAGGAUUUCUUUGAUACAGAAAAGCAAGCAUUUUUUAAUGCUUAUACUA
rnacentral:tRNA from 1 species